rnacentral:rRNA from 1 species
AUGCAAGUCGAACGAGAAAGUCCUUCGGGACGAGUACAGUGGCGAACGGGUGAGUAACGCGUAAGAAUCUUCCCUUCAGUGAAGAAUACCGCCGAGAAAUCGGUGUUAAUACUGCAUACGUCCUUGUAAGUUAGUUCUUACAGGGAGAAAGGUGGCCUCUUUGCUACCGCUGAUGGAUGAGCUUGCGUACUAUUAGUUUGUUGGUGAGGUAAUGGCUCACCGAGGCGAUGAUGGUUAGCCGACCUGAGAGGGUGACCGGCCACAUUGGGACUGAGAUACGGCCCAGACUCCUACGGGAGGCAGCAGUGGGGAAUUUUGCACAAUGGGCGCAAGCCUGAUGCAGCGACGCCGCGUGGAGGAUGACGGUUUUCGGAUUGUAAACUCCUGUUAAGUGGGAAUAAAUACCUUUGUUUAAUACGCAAAGGGGAUGAAGGUACCAUUAGAGAAAGCUCCGGCUAACUUCGUGCCAGCAGCCGCGGUAAUACGAAGGGAGCGAGCGUUAUUCGGAAUUACUGGGCGUAAAGGGCGUGUAGGCGGUUCGUUAAGUCAGUUGUUAAAUCCCCCGGCUUACCCGGGGAACAGCAAUUGAUACUGGCAGACUAGAGGACAAGAGAGAGGAGUGGAAUUCUCGGAGUAGCGGUAAAAUGCGCAGAUCUCGAGAGGAACACCGAUGGCGAAGGCAGCUCCUUGGCUUGUAUCUGACGCUGAGACGCGAAAGCGUGGGUAGCAAACAGGAUUAGAUACCCUGGUAGUCCACGCCGUAAACGAUGAUCACUGAAUGUUGGUUUUACUUUUGUGAAAUCAGUGUUGUAGCUAACGCGUUAAGUGAUCCGCCUGGGGAGUACGGUCGCAAGAUUAAAACUCAAAGGAAUUGACGGGGGUCCGCACAAGCGGUGGAACAUGUGGUUUAAUUCGACACUACGCGAGAAACCUUACCUAGGCUUGACAUGUGCGUGACAACUGUAGAAAUACAGCUUUCUUAGUUUACUAAGACAUGUACACAGGUGCUGCAUGGCUGUCGUCAGCUCGUGUCGUGAGAUGUUGGGUUAAGUCCUUUAACGAGCGCAACCCCUGCCGUUAGUUGCUACUGUUUUGCAGAGCACUCUAGCGGGACUGCCUUGGAAACAAGGAGGAAGGUGGGGAUGACGUCAAGUCCUCAUGGCCCUUAUGUCUAGGGCUACACACGUGUUACAAUGGCGAGUACAAUGGGAAGCGAAGCCGCGAGGUGGAGCAAAUCCAAUAAAGCUCGUCUAAGUUCGGAUUGAAGUCUGAAAUUCGACUUCAUGAAGUUGAAAUCGCUAGUAAUCGCGUAUCAGAACGACGCGGUGAAUACGUUCUCGGACCUUGUACACACCGCCCGUCACACACGAAAAUUGUCUGUACCAGAAGUCGUCUUAGCUAACCUUUACGGGAGGCGGGCGCCGAAGGUGUGGAUGGUAAUUGGGGUGAAGUCGAAACAAGGUA